UGUAUAAAUGGCCGCGGUACUUUGACCGUGCUAAGGUAGCGCAAUCAAUUGGUUUUUAAAUGGAGCCAGGUAUGAAUGGAGUUACGGGGUUUUUCUGUCUCCUAGUUAAUUUAUCGAAAUUACUGUGUAGGUGAAAAAGCCUAUAAAGAGAAAAAGGACGAGAAGACCCUUAGAGUUUUUUUUCAAAGCAGUUUGGUUGGGGCAACGUGGGAGCAAAUCUCCAUAUAUCGAGUAUUUUAGAACUAAAUAAACUACCUUAGGGAUAACAGCAUAAUUUUAUAAAUAAGUUUGUGACCUCGAUGUUGGACUGGGAAACUUAAAGGUUAGCCGCCUUUCAGGUAAGUUCUGUUCGAACUAAUAUUCCC
rnacentral:rRNA from 1 species